CAAAGAGAGUGAAAGCCUCGUAAACGAAAUCCGACCCACUCCAUUCAGUAUCCUGAGUACGGCGGAACACGAGAAACUCCGUCGGAAUCUGGGAGGACCAUCUCCCAAGGCUAAAUACUCCCUAGUGAUCGAUAGUGAACCAGUACCGUGAGGGAAAGGUGAAAAGAACCCCGGAAGGGGAGUGAAAUAGAUCCUGAAACCGUGUGCCUACAAGUAGUCAGAGCCCGUUUAUGGGUGAUGGCGUGCCUUUUGUAGAAUGAACCGGCGAGUUACGUUAACAUGCAAGGUUAAGAUGAAAAGUCGGAGCCGGAGCGAAAGCGAGUCUGAAUAGGGCGACUAAGUAUGUUGACGUAGACCCGAAACCAAGUGACCUACCCAUGACCAGGUUGAAGAUGCGGUAAAACGCAUUGGAGGACCGAACUCGUGUAUGUUGAAAAAUGCUGAGAUGAGUUGUGGGUAGCGGUGAAAUUCCAAACGAACUUGGAGAUAGCUGGUUCUCUCCGAAAUAGCUUUAGGGUUAGCCUCGGGGAUUAGGAUCGUGGAGGUAGAGCACUGUUUGGACUAGGGGCCCGUCUUGGGUUACUGAAUUCAGAUAAACUCCGAAUACCAUUGAUCUAUACCCGGGAGUCAGACGAUGAGUGAUAAGAUCCACCGUCGAAAGGGAAACAGCCCAGAUCACCAGUUAAGGUCCCAAAAUUCAUGCUAAGUGGAAAAGGAUGUGGAAACGCAUAGACAACUAGGAUGUUGGCUCAGAAGCAGCCAUUCAUUCAAAGAGUGCGUAAUAGCUCACUAGUCGAGUGAUUCUGCGCCGAAAAUGUACCGGGGCUAAGCAUGAUACCGAAACUGUGGAUGUGUCGUAAGACACGUGGUAGGAGAGCGUUGUAAGAGCAUUGAAGCUGUACCGUGAGGAGCAGUGGAGUUCUUAGAAGUGAGAAUGCCGGUAUGAGUAACGAAAGACCAGUGAGAAUCUGGUCGGCCGCAAGACUAAGGUUUCCUGGGGAAGGCUCGUCCUCCCAGGGUUAGUCGGGGCCUAAGAUGAGACCGAGAGGUGUAAUCGAUGGAUAACAGGUUGAUAUUCCUGUACUAGUUUAUUUUGUUUGAACGAUGGAAGAACGCAGGAGGAUGAUGUGUGCGCGCUGAUGGAUAUGCGCGUCCAAGCAGUAAGUCUUGAGUUGAGUCAAAUGCUUAGCUCUUUAAGGACAAGCUGUGAUGGGGAGUGAAAUUUUAGUAACGAAGCACAGUAACUCACACUGCCGAGAAAAGUUCCUAGUUAGAAAUAAACUACCCGUACCGCAAACCGACACAGGUAGUCGAGGAGAGUAUCCUAAGGUCAGCGAGUGAACUCUCGUUAAGGAACUCGGCAAAAUGACCCCGUAACUUCGGGAGAAGGGGUGCUGGUGUAACAGCCAGCCGCAGUGAAUAGGCCCAAACAACUGUUUAUCAAAAACACAGGUCUAUGCUAAAUCGUAAGAUGACGUAUAUGGGCUGACGCCUGCCCGGUGCUGG
rnacentral:rRNA from 1 species